rnacentral:rRNA from 1 species
CGUACCUUUUGCAUAAUGGGUCAGCAAGUUAACAUUAGAUGCGAGGUACGAAAAAAUAUGAAAAAAACAAAGUAAUAAUCUUUUUCUGUUGGCUUCGUAACAGAUUCAGACGAUGAAAUGGAGUCUAGAUUAAAAGUAGUAUCCUAGAUAAACCAAUUAUUAAAUAAUGAUCAAGUAUCUAGUGUUAGACCCGAAGCCUAGUGAUCUUACCAUGAUCAGAGUUAUAAAAGCUCGAACGGGUUGUCGUUGUAAAGACAUCCGAAGAAUUGUGGUAAGUAAGUGAAAGACAAAACUGACUAGGAUAGCUGGUUUUCUGCGAAACCUAUAUAAGUAGGCGGUUUAAAUAAUAUCAUCGCAGGUAUAGAAUUGUGAUCUCAGGCAAGUUAUGAUUUAUAUCAGUUUGUAUACAUUGGGGAAUCGUGAAGAUUUUAUCAGUGAGGAUUUGCUCUCAGAAGGGCGAUGAUAAAUUUUAAACUAUCAGACAUAGUACGAUAAGGUUGUAUGUCUAAAGGGAAACAGCCCAGAACAAGAGUUGAAGGUUCCAAAAUUAUUGUUAAGUGAAAAAUAAGGAAGUAUUUUCCGAAUACAACCAGGAAAUAGGCUUAGAAGCGGCCAUUUUUUGAAGACCUCGUAACAGAGCACUGGUUUAAUUUUCUUAGUAAAGAAAAAAGUUAAAAGCGUCAAAAAUUCAACGGAUCUAAACAAUAUACCUAAACCUUGUCCAUAAAUAAAUUUGUUUAUGGGGUAGCGGAACGUUGGGUAAAACUUAGACUUUGCCCGCUGGGGCAAGGUAAGCUUACAUUAAGUUAAGUGAGAUAAUCCCAAGUGAUAAUGCUGACAUGAGUAACGAAAAAGGGAUAACCCCUCGCCUUAAGCUUAUGGUAUUCUUCGGAGAUUAAGUAACGGCCCCUAAGUUUAUUGAACUGCCCUAAAGGGUUAAGCGAUGGGAAAAUCUUUAUACAUCUGUAAACCUUUACAAAAUAUUUAACGUUUUGUCUAUUAGACAUUGCAAUAAACAUUUUAAAGC